CCAUGAACAGGAAAUUGUGCUGGGGCGAAAUACUUCCCUCGGGGAAUAAGUUUUCGCAGCUUUGUUCCGCACAUAAUUGUAAAAAUAUGCAUUUGACAAGACGGUAAUCCCAUAAAUGUACGCGCCACACACAGUGGAAGGUAAACAUAAGAUUAGUAUUUCACACAUAUUUAAUCGAAAACGUUAUGCGCGGCGGUUAAAAAAAUUCCCUAAUUAUAUCAGGAUCUAUGUACUGUACUACUGCAGUAGUAUUACUACUUCCUCUACUACGCAGUAUUUCCAUGUACUGCACUGCCUUUGUCUUCAGUGACUGUGUUUACAGUUUGUCGUUGAGCUCAACCUGAGGUGAGGCUCCUCUAAACUAUCGCACAGUAAAUAUCACGUGUAUUUGAACAUGUAUUGAAAUGCAGUUUGCAUCACUCAUUGGCUCCAGCAGCUGGAGGCUAGUAGUAGGUAGGAGGAGGGGGGAUGAGACAGCGGGAGGGGGAUGCAAGGUUGACUGCAAACCUUUUUUUCUCUCUCUGUUUUUGCAUGGGGGAGUUUAAAACGAGCAGAGAUCGUCGCUGAAUUGUUCACCACCAUGCCACCCAAGAGAGACGCAGGUGCGACUCCAGCACAGCCGCCCGUGAAGAUGAUAAAGAUCGAUAACGUUACAGAUGCACAAGAGUUUGGCUGUCAUUCAGGCGAGGAUAAGUUCAGGCUCCAUGAAGAGGCCAGCUACUCACCUUAUCCCAACAAUGACCUUGACACUAUUGAAUUUGAUGAAGAAAAUGUUGCAAGCCCGGGAAUCAGAACAGACACCAUCAGCCUUCUCAUGAAAAUAGAGCAGCUACAGGCACAACUGAAAUAUGAACGCAGAUGCAGAAUUUUGGCAGAGAGAGAGCUGAGGGAACUCAAAGAGAUGAACACUCUCAUGAUGCAGAUGAGGCACACGGCACAUGAACUGCGGGUCACCCUGGAUCAUGUUCUCCACGGAGGCGAAGCAGCAGUUGCGCCACAAAACUCUGAUGAAACUAUCUCUUUCCUGACUGAGCCUGAGGCAGAAAUGAGAGCACUUCAUAAUAUACCAGAGGAUGACCACAAUUUCCUCUAUCUCUCAGAGAAUCUUCGAGUGCCAAAAAAUCUUUAUGAGCGCAUUGCAGAAAUUGCAGACUACAAGAAGUACACUUCAGCCCUGCUCAUGAUACUUUUUGAUAGAGAAACGCUGGCAACCCACUCUCUGCAGGGCCGUAGGAAUACCUUUACAGGAGAGGAUUGCCACAAGCCACAGCUCCCACCUGAGAUUUUGAAAAGUUUAAUCGAUCAUGUGGCAGCCAAGUUCAGUGUUGACAGCAGCCAAAUAAAAACCGCAAUCCGCACAAAGUUGAACAAUGAGGAUAAAUUAUUGAAGAAGAGACUGGGGUUGGGUAAAACAGAAAACAGAGCUAAUGCUGAGCCAAGCUUUUGCCAAGAUGCCUCGCUUCUGCCCGACGACGGAGCAAUGACAAGUGACUCUCAGUUAUAGUCGUUCACCUCUGUCUUCGUCCGUUGGUCACACGUAUUUCAUGUCCGAUAGAAAUAGGUCACAGAUUGCCUUUUUUGUCCACUAUAGUUCAUUCAGCAUUAAAAUCUAGUUCUUUAUUUUUUAAGAAUGAUAAGUAUAUAUAUUUUUACGUUGACAGCAGUUAAUGUCUGUUAGAUUGUUUUCAGAGUGUCACCUGGUGGCCACACCCAGGCGUUUGAUAGCACUAUAAACUGCCGCAUAUGUAAUCAUUAAUACUGUAAACAAGUGUUCUUAGGUUUUCUUACUGUAUUUAAGAGAGUGGUUAUAGGUUAAUAACCUUUUAAGCUAGAAUCAGUCAGUCAGCUGACCUUUACAUGUGUAAGUAGGACAGGGAUCUCAUUUUUGCCCUGUUGUUCAUUCCAACUUGUGCAUUGCAGGUAAUAAUGUGUUUCAAGGUAUACUGUAUGUGAUAACUGUUUCAAAGUGUUUGUCAUGUGUUUUCUGUGCUUCACUCUAACAAACAAUAAAGUUUUGCAGCUG
ensembl:lncRNA